UGUAGGCUUGGAACGCACUGCUAUCAUUAUCUGUCCGGGACAUCUUCUAUAAGCCAUGGUGCACGAAAUUCAUCGCUAAAUUUCAAAGUAGAAUACACAAGGUAUAGUGAUCAUUAUGCAUUUUUACGCAUCCACAUAUCCCACUGCAAGGGUAACAGUAACUUUAUAUACAGCAACAGUAACUUUAUUUCUCCCAUACAAUCGUGAGACUGAAUGCGGAAAGACCUUUGCAGUUACUAUACCUGCAAACUAUGGAACAGUUUAAUAAAAUUAGAUCUCAGAAACUCUGUGUCAUUAAGAGCUUUUAGAAACAAUUACUGGAACAGUAUUUUUAACGAACAGAAAGAACUCCAUGAUUUUAUUGUAUAAUCUGUUUUAAUCAAUUAGCGUAAUGUGCACUUAUAUACAUUUUUAUAUAUCUUUAUAUUGCAUGUCAUUUAACUCAUAUUUUUAGAUUGAGGGCCACUGGUUUAUUAGUUUGUAACUAUUCUGCGCUACCCUAUUAAAUAAAGAGUUUACUAGCUUACUUACUUACUUACUUACUAAGUAAACGCCCGUAAACAGAAAUCCAGCUUUAAAUUUUCAGUUGUGAAAGCUAAAGGAAUUAUUUCUUGCUUGCUCACUUAUAAAUUAACUGAAUGGAAAUAACUUAGUUGAAACAUCAGCAGCCGAUCUUUAUCUGAUAUACAAACUCGAGCCGAAGGCAAUUGAUGGUAUAAUAAGAAAAUUAUACGGUAUUUUAUAAUAAUUUUUUUUUUGCAUUUAUAUACCAAAUAGUUCAUGAUUUUAUUCAUAAUACAUAUUGUUUGGCAAUAACUUUUUUUUUGUAUUUGCCAUAACUAUAUCAAACGUUAAAGAAAUAUGUUUACAAUUACAAAUUACUCAUGUUUUGAUAAAGACAACAGUUAAAGAGCUGUAAACGUACAGAUCCUGUAUAACAUCCAUGCAGUGCCGAUGAAAAAUAAACUCUCCCAUAAUGAAAAUAGAUAGAAUUAAUAUCAGUCGUUUAUUUAGCCAAACAUUCAACAAUUAAUGGUAUGCUAUACUGUAUAAGGUAAUUGCACUUGCGUUAAUCUGUCACACAAAUACUUAUAAUAUCAUGUAAAUUAUUCGUAAUAAUUUUUGUCCAUCUGAAUGUUUUACUUUUUGUGCAAUCCACUGAUGGGCACGAAAUGUCAUUUUUAUCCAAUUUUAGCUAUCACCAUUACGUCAAAUCGAGUUAUGUUGUCAAUCUGACGAACAGGAAUGCAAUCCAGAUAUUGCAACAUGUCUAAGUGAAGCUGCUUUUAAUGCUGUGGAAAGAAUUGUAAAAG